rnacentral:rRNA from 1 species
UGGGGAAUUUUGGACAAUGGGCGAAAGCCUGAUCCAGCAAUGCCGCGUGUGUGAAGAAGGCCUUCGGGUUGUAAAGCACUUUUGUCCGGAAAGAAAUCCUUGGCUCUAAUACAGUCGGGGGAUGACGGUACCGGAAGAAUAAGCACCGGCUAACUACGUGCCAGCAGCCGCGGUAAUACGUAGGGUGCAAGCGUUAAUCGGAAUUACUGGGCGUAAAGCGUGCGCAGGCGGUUUGCUAAGACCGAUGUGAAAUCCCCGGGCUCAACCUGGGAACUGCAUUGGUGACUGGCAGGCUAGAGUAUGGCAGAGGGGGGUAGGAUUCCACGUGUAGCAGUGAAAUGCGUAGAGAUGUGGAGGAAUACCGAUGGCGAAGGCAGCCCCCUGGGCCAAUACUGACGCUCAUGCACGAAAAGCGUGGGGAGCAAAACAGGAUUAGAUACCCUGGUAGUCCACGCCCUAAACGAUGUCAACUAGUUGUUGGGGAUUCAUUUCCUUAGUAACGUAGCUAACGCGUGAAGUUGACCGCCUGGGGAGUACGGUCGCAAGAUUAAAACUCAAAUGAAUUGACGGGGUCAUAGCUGUUUCCU